UUGGUGUCUCUCUCUGUUUUUUUUUACCUCCAUUGUUGGCUUAAACUUUAAGCUUAGAGUGGGAGUCUUUAGAGUGAAAUUUUACAAAUGUGUUGUCAAUGAAAGUCGGAGAGCUCGUCGUGAUCUUCGCAAUGGUAGUCUCGGAUUAAUGAUCGGGCAAGAUUUUCCUUCAAAAUUUGCUCUUCUUUAUUAUUUGAGGAAACAUUUUCUUGUACAAACCAGCUUGGCAGUUCCAAUUCCAGCAGCAACAAUUCCAUCAGCAACUGCAGAGCACUUUUCACAACUGUAGUUUGAAAAAUGGUUUCUGGCUUAAAGACUGGCCGGCUUCGGAAAAAGACACUCACGGGCACAAUAACAGACUUGCUGGCUGCUAUUCCUUUAGGAUCAACGGUCACUCCAUCUCCUGUUGUCCCCGUACGAUCAAAUGUGGGACCAUCUCAUCAUGCCACUUGCCCACCAUUGGUUGAU